CAGGGAGGAGUCGAGGAAGUGCCUGGCUCGCGUGGUUUUUGUUCCUGGUUCUGAUGGCUUCGUAGCACGCGAUCCGGUUCAGUUGCAAUCGGUAGCAAUGUCGGGCUCGUCGGCCGCAGAGGAGGACAUAGUGCAGCACCUAUCGUCCAAUUUCAACCCGUCUUCGUCGAUGCUCGCCAAGCUCGAGGCUCGGAUGACCGGCAAGGCAGUCUCCGCGCCAUCGUCACCGCCGCAGGCAGGAUUCGUUUAGCACAGCAUCGCGAUUUUCGGUAACAACCCCUCCCAUAGAUUCGCUUUGAGCCCAGCUUUGUUUUGAUGUGUUCCGCUUAGAGCACCGGGCACCGUAUCAGCGACGGGCCAAUCACCGGCGAUACUCCGCCGUAUGGGGGCGGUGGCGCCGCUGCUCUGGUCACGGCUGGUGAGGAGAGAAAGAGAAGGAGUUGUCGCUUGUGCCGUUGGUUUGGAAAUCAACGCAUGAGAUUAGAUCGUGUAGCAACGAAACCUGGGCCUUCAGAUCGUAUGCGAUCGGUCACGAUUAAAUCGUGGGUGUAUCGGUUCAAGAUUGGAUCUAGGCCAUCAACCCAGAUCGGGCGGAUGAAAAUCGAUCGCACGACUUUAAAAUCUGGACCGUCGAUCCUCGAUCCAAGGGCGAGUAAUGUGUACCGUUUCGAUGUUAGGAUGAGUCUAAUCUGGACCGUAGGAUUAGAUCCGUGCGGCCGAGGAUCAUGCAUACCCUUUCACCCUGACUUUUAGCUAAAGAGACCGUAGGUUUAUUUGAAUUCAAGACCGCCGUACAUAUACGAAUUAAAAUAAAUAAAAUUAAAUCAGGACUUUGCAAAAACACCCCUCGGACUUAUGUUGAGAUAUAAAAUCAUUAGUAAAAAUAUCUAGAAACUUAUGUAUUCCAUAACUUUAGUAUUUUAACUUCGUUUUUGUCCGUUCAAGUUGUGUUAGCUUCGUAAUAAAAUUGUCUACGCAGUGGCAACAUUAUUUGUACCAUAAAACACAUUUUUAUAAAUAGAUAUUUGUUUAGCCUAUGAUUAGUAGAUUAGACCUUCUAACCAAAGUUAGAGUGGUCCAUGAUGAUAAUUUGACUAAAAUGUGAUUUCUAAUCAAGUUAUAAUCUAAAUUAAAGUUGAGUUAAUUAUUUAUAGAGUAUUCUCUCAUAUGAUAUAUACUAAUCAAUUUAUAAUAUAGUUUAAUAUUUGAAUCACAUAGAUCUUCCAUAAAUCAUAACUCCUUAACCGUAACUCCGAUUUUUGUGGUUCUCGAAGCUACGACCUCGUUACGACGCGUAGAAUAUUUUUAUGCAGUAUGUUCUUAUGUUUGGUGUAAUGUUAAUUUUGCCUAUAGCAUGUUUGUUCGUAUUGCUACGAAUAGCAGUGAGGUCACGAGAAUCUUGAAGACCAAGCUAGUACCUAGGAAUCUCGAGUCUAAGGCAAGUUGUGCCCUUGAUCACUUUUCUUUACCUAAUAAUGUUCUUUGGUAAUCACUAUAACAUGCUCAGGUUAAUUUGAUGGGACCUAAUAGGUUUCCCUAGAGUUGAUUAUCCCACACCUUGUUUACCAUUGAACUUUUGGGUAGAUUUGCUAUUGCUCUACCUGGUUUUGGGAUUAAUAUUACAUUAUAAUCAUGUUCCAAUUAUACUGUUGUUUAAUUAUUGUUCAUGACAAGAUCAUUAUGUUAAUUGGAACAUGGAGCUUAACUUGAGAAACACGUGCUACCACAAGGGUGGAAUGGGACGCCCUUGGUUGACUAAUUAGGAAAUCUAGUGGAGGACUACCUUACCCAAAAGGGGCAAGGGGAGUAGAGGAGUUGCAUAUAGGGAGGUUCUCGGGUCGAUCAUGCUGCGAUAGCUUUUCGGACGAGGGAUUCCUAUAUUGCUCUUCCCAGAAACUGUAGCGGGUUUUUCUGAAGCUAGUGGAACUUUAUAAAGGCCUCGUAGUGGAUCCCUAGCCAUUCACCUCGGAAGUGUCUAAGGGUCUAGCUAACCCUGGCUAGACGGGAUACACAACUUCUGGGUAAAGGGCGCAACCUCUGUAGAGUGUAAAGCUGGUAUAUCAGCCGUGCUCGCGGUCAUGAGCAGCUCAGGACUCUCGCAUGAUUAAUCCAUGGAACUAAACUUAAUUUGUCAUAUGCAUUGCAUUGUGGGUGUUAUUAUCAAUUUUGAUCUCUUACUUAAUUGGGUUGGUAUCUACUUAUACUUAGUAACUGCUAAUAAAAUUUUGACCAACUUUAAAAGCAAUGCUCAGCUUUAACCAUCUCCUUUGGUAAGCCUUACAAUUCACAUGAGCUCCCACCUUUGGUGAGUUCAUGCACAUUAUUCCCCACAACUUGUUGAGCGAUGAACGUAUGUGAGCUCACCCUUGUUGUACUCAUAUCCCUCCAGGUCAAAAAUAGGUACCACUGGAUGAGGCACGUGAAGGAUGUCGUGAUGAGUUCUUGAGUGGUCUAGGUGUCGUCUCUCAGUCAACUUUGUGUUGCUGGAUCGUUGUCUUCGCAAGAUGUAAUUAUUUGACUAUUUUGUACAGAACUCCAUUAUAUAUAAAUGAUGUG
rnacentral:lncRNA from 1 species